GGGCAUUCAGGUGAUUUUUGCAUGGGCGCGAUAGCACAGGAUGGUGAAAAUAUCAAACGCACGACCAACAGGAAACAUGGCCGUCAGUUUUGGCAACGUGCACAAGUUCAAGUAACCGGCAACCUCUGGUUCUACGGAAGAACGGGUGGACGACACCCACUGAAAGUCUGGAUCCAGAGGUGGUUCCACGGAGGCGGACACAUGGUUAAGCCAAACCCAGAGAACGGGGGGCACAGACACGGGCCCUGCGCCUUCCCGCCCCGUGGAGAACGGCUUCAUGAUUGAGCGUUGCUGGUGAGUGCCCCCUGCGUGGCCCCCUGCGUGAUGCGGCCUGGCCGCCAGCUGUUGACCGAAGCCUGGGAAGGACAUCGGCACCACCCUGCCCUCCCAGAGCUGCCGGGGACA